rnacentral:rRNA from 1 species
CCUACGGGAGGCAGCAGUGAGGAAUAUUGGUCAAUGGACGAGAGUCUGAACCAGCCAAGUAGCGUGAAGGAUGACUGCCCUAUGGGUUGUAAACUUCUUUUAUAUGGGAAUAAAAUGUUCCACGUGUGGGAUUUUGUAUGUACCAUAUGAAUAAGGAUCGGCUAACUCCGUGCCAGCAGCCGCGGUAAUACGGAGGAUCCGAGCGUUAUCCGGAUUUAUUGGGUUUAAAGGGAGCGUAGGUGGAUUGUUAAGUCAGUUGUGAAAGUUUGCGGCUCAACCGUAAAAUUGCAGUUGAAACUGGCAGUCUUGAGUACAGUAGAGGUGGGCGGAAUUCGUGGUGUAGCGGUGAAAUGCUUAGAUAACACGAAGAACUCCGAUUGCGAAGGCAGUUCACUGGACUGCAACUGACACUGAGGCUCGAAAGUGUGGGUAUCAAACAGGAUUAGAUACCCGAGUAGUC